CAUAUUUGAGAAACUUGAGUCUUUGCGUGUAAGGUUCCUUUUUUCCCUUGAUGUUGUAAUCCCGUUUGCAUAUAUACAAAUUUAUUCUGUUUGAAAGAAGAUGACUUUAUUCUUAAUAGAAGAGAAGAAAGUUAUGUAAUGGUGGAGAUGUCCUCAAGAACGAGCAAUCUCACAAUUAUAACUUUUUUUCUUUACGCGAUAUACAAUAUACAUAUGCUUACCAACCCAUUAUUACAAAUGAAGACGUAGGCAAAAGUUGGAUUGAUAGAACAGUAACCUUGACCCUCUAGCUUGAUAUGUAACGAUCUGGUCGAUCGUUUUUGUGUAUUUGUGCUCCAUUUUCC
rnacentral:lncRNA from 1 species